CAGUCGCCACGGGAAUACGUAGGGUGCAAGCGUUAAUCGGAAUUACUGGGCGUAAAGCGUGCGCAGGCGGUUAUAUAAGACAGGUGUGAAAUCCCCGGGCUCAACCUGGGAACUGCAUUUGAGACUGUAUGGCUAGAGUGUGUCAGAGGGGGGUAGAAUUCCACGUGUAGCAGUGAAAUGCGUAGAUAUGUGGAGGAAUACCGAUGGCGAAGGCAGCCCCCUGGGAUAACACUGACGCUCAUGCACGAAAGCGUGGGGAGCAAACAGGAUUAGAUACCCCUGUAGUCCCUGUCUCUUAUAC
rnacentral:rRNA from 1 species